AUGGCGGCCGCCGCAGGUAGAUCGCUCCUGCUGCUCCUGUCCUCUCGGGGCGGCGGAGCGGGCGCCGGGGGCUGCGGGGCGCUGACUGCAGGCUGUUUCCCCGGGCUGGGCGUCAGCCGCCACCGGCAGCAGCAGCACCACCGGACGGUACACCAGAGGCUCUCUUCCUGGCAGAAUUUGAGAGUUGUUUAUUGCCGUACUGUUGUGCCCUCUGAUGAUGUUACAGUGAUUUAUCAAAAUGGGUUACCUGUGAUAUCUGUGAGGCUACCAUCCCGGCGUGAACGCUGUCCGUUCACACUCAAGCCUAUCUCUGACUCUGUUGGUGUGUUUUUACAACUGCAAGAAGAGGAUCGGGGAAUUGACAGAGUUGCUGUCUAUUCACCAGAUGGCGUUCGUGUUGCUGCUUCAGCAGGGAUAGAUCUCCUCCUCCUUGAUGACUUUAAGCUGGUCAUUAAUGACUUGACAUAUCAUGUACGACCACCAAAAAGAGACCUCUUAAGUCAUGAAAAUGCAGCAACGUUGAAUGAUGUAAAGACAUUGGUCCAGCAGCUAUAUACCACACUGUGCAUUGAGCAGCACCAGUUAAACAAGGAAAGGGAGCUUUUGAAAGACUAGAGGAUCUCAAAGAGCAACUGGCUCCCCAGGAAAAGGUAAGAAUUGAGAUUAGCAGAAAAGCUGAGAAGAGGACCACUUUGGUGCUAUGGGGUGGCCUUGCCUACAUGGCCACACAGUUUGGCAUUUUGGCCCGGCUUACCUGGUGGGAAUAUUCCUGGGACAUCAGGGAGCCGCCGGUCACCUACUUCAUCACUUAUGGAAGUGCCAUGGCAAUGUAUGCGUAUUUUGUAAUGACACGCCAGGAGUAUGUUUAUCCAGAAGCCAGAGACAGACAAUACUUAUUAUUUUUCCAUAAAGGAGCCAAAAAGUCACGUUUUGACCUAGAGAAAUACAAUCAACUCAAGGAUGCAAUUGCUCAGGCAGAAAUGGACCUUAAGAGACUGAGAGACCCAUUACAAGUACAUCUGCCUCUCCGACAAAUUGGUGAAAAAGAUUGAUCUGCAAAGAGCCUCUGAAUCCCAGCAGAAGGAACACCUGUUUGCCUUUUUAAUUAAAGCAUUGCAGGUGGAAGCUGGGAACCAUGUGGGGGUAGAGCGUUUUUACCUUUAAUUAUAAAAUAAAAACAGAAAGGAUCUGAGGGAAGAAGGGAGUGUUAAAACCUGAGGAUCAGGCAUUGUGGAAUAUAAGAUCAAAGGGCUUAGUGAAUAUUGUCUUAACCAAGUAUCUCACUUUCUGGAUAAAAAUGAUGCAGUUAUAUAGUCGAGAGAUUCAUAAAGAGAAAGUGACGCUGGGGGUGUUUGUUUCUUGCAUCUUCUCUGCAGAGUCAGCAAAACAGUAACACACCAGCACCCCACUCUGCUCUAUUUUUUUUUUAAUUUAACUUUCCCUAUUUUUGACAUAGGAGUAAAUAAAUAUACCAGAAAAGCAGAUUCUCAUGAUAUGUGGAUGGCAAUCUGAGUGCAUAUCAUUAGCAUUUAUUUUAAAUCGGACCCAGUCUCUGCAGAGUUACCAGGAAUCUCUCCCUCCUGCACCCCUUUACUGACCACCUACCUGUGCCUCUUAGCUACACUCAUUUUUUUCCAUUUGAUAAUUGGAACCAACUUACAACUGUUUAAUAAUUGAUACUUUAUCUCUUAAUACUUUCUUAAAUGUCUGUAUAGCCCAGUGCUCUGGAUCAGUGUCUAAAAAUCACUGGCAACACUGCAUGAGGUUGUUGGUUUGAUUUUGUUUUUCUAUUAAUUAGUCUUUCACAGGAGGAAAAUUUGCCCUCCUUUAUAUGCGUAUCUAUUGAUAAUCCCCUCUCCUUCCACUACACAAGUCAGAGAGGGGAGGGGUGUUCAGCUGUACUACCAAAUCAGGAAGAUGUAAGGUUUACAAACUGGCUAAAAAUCAUGGCUCUGUAGCCAUUUCAACCCAAAUAAUUUUAUUGCUAAUCUGCUUGUGUGACAGCAUUCCAGGCCAGCCAGAUGGCACUGCCUUGUCUGGAGGCUUUGUUCAUCUCAAAGGACACACACUUCCACACUGUUUGGGAGUCCUCACACCUCCACAACUUCAGUUGUUGUAAAUCAAGUGUGUGGAUCUCAAAGGGUGCAAUUUAUCUUUA